rnacentral:lncRNA from 10 species
CUCACAGAGGAAUGAAAGCCUUCCUUGACUUGAAUCUAUCUGUACACUUGAGAGGAGGAAAUUGAGCCUAAGAGAAAUAAGAAGUACUUCUUAUUUCAAGGUCACACGCCACCUCUGAGCGACAGAGUCUGAGUUGGAACCCCCUCUCCUUGCUUCCUGCCUGGUGUUCAUCCCAAGGUGCCACAUGGACUCCAUCAUGAAAACAUGGGCUCUAAUACCUCCCUGUCAGUGCUAACGGUGAGUCACAAUGCAUCCAGAGGAGCUUCUCUAUAUGGUGUGCAGAAUUUCAAGUUGUCUGCUGUGUAUAAUGUGUCCAUUUAGCCAGAGUCUCUAGUAUUAAUUACCUCUGUGAGGUACAAUAUGGCAUCAUGCAGCUUUGGAAUCUGUACACUUCAUUAACCGUUUCCCCAUUAACCUUGACUGGAAUCACAUUCCUAUUCUAACUGGUAAGAUGUGUUCUAUUUGUAAGCACUCCUAUUUUCUCUUUGAAACCAUUCUCAUAUU